rnacentral:rRNA from 1 species
AGAGCGAACGCUGGCGGCGUGCUUAACACAUGCAAGUCGAACGCGCAGCAUUCUGUAGCAAUACAGGGUGUGGGCGCGUGGCGAACGGGUGCGUAACACGUGGAUAACCUUCCUUCAGGUGGGGAAUAACCCAGUGAAAAUUGGGCUAAUACCGCAUAACAAAACGAUGAGACAUCUUGUUGUUUUCAAAGGCGCAAGUCGCCAGAAGAGGGAUCCGCGGCCGAUUAGCUUGUUGGCGAGGUAAUGGCUCACCAAGGCAAUGAUCGGUAGCCGGACUGAGAGGUUGGCCGGCCACACUGGAACUGAGACACGGUCCAGACUCCUACGGGAGGCAGCAGUGGGGAAUCUUGCACAAUGGGCGAAAGCCUGAUGCAGCAACGCCGCGUGGGGAUGAAGCUUCUCGGAGUCGUAAACCCCUUUCGACCCGGAAGAAACGCCCGCGAAGGGUUUGACGGUACGGGUAUAAGAAGCCCGACUAACUACGCGCCAGCAGCCGCGGUAAU